rnacentral:lncRNA from 1 species
UUUUAGGGCCGCACCUGUGGCAUAUGGAGUUUCCCAGGGUAGGGGUCCAAUAGGAGCUACAGCCUCCAGCCUACACCACAGCCACAGCAACGCCAGAUCCUUAACCCACUGAGCGAGGCCAGGGUUCGAACCCACAACCUCAUGGUUCCCAGUCGGAUUCAUUUCCGCUGCAUCAUGACGGGAACUCCGCAAAUCCUUUUUUACUAACACAUUAAAUUCAAGAUCUAGCAAUGGAUUUGACAACUACUGUAAUGUGAAGACAUCUGCAACAGUUUGGGGUGAUAUGAAAAGAUCCACUCUCUAUGGAUGGCAACAUCACCGGUACCGCUAAGAGAACUAUGGCUUAUGGCCUGGGAUCAGGGUUGGAGGAAACGCUCACUCUCAGCUAAAUAUUAAUGAAGUAAAGACAUGACAGUUUUCUUCCAAGUUCACCACUCCCUGGAGUUCCACGUGAUCCCUGGACCCUGGGAUGCGAACUCCUGCCUUAGACAAAGUUCAUCCCUGACAGUAACCCGCCACCCCCUUUGCAGCUCAUGGAUCCAGUCUGCCACUCAGCAGUCCCCAUCCCUCCCCAGACAGAGGGUGCCCUUGGCCUCAGCCCCCAUCCCCAAGCAGAGGGGCAGAAAGCUUGCAGCAGGAGCAAAUGGGCCCCUGGGGGCGGGGAAGGUGGGGGGGGUCAGGCCACCUUCCUGCCCAGGGCAGGCCCAGCGGGCUUGGGUUGAGGGGGAGGCUGGGGAGCCAGCGGGUCUCAGGAACCCCUGGGGAGCUUGCGAGGCCCUCAAACUUCUAGGCUUCAGCCCUGAGAUUUGGAUUCUAGGGGCUCGAGGAGGGGCCCACCCCUCAGUCUUUCCCUCCAACCAUGGAGGGUCUACACUGUCAAGUUCAAAGGCCUCAAGGUCAGAAGCUCUCUGAGGUCUAUCUGGGAGGCUGGGGCUUCAGGCAGAUGGAAAAUUAUGUCCCCCACAUCUAGGGGGGUACCCAUGAAACCAGCCAAUGACUGUUUGCCUGCCAGAUGCCCAACGUCUCCCCGCCAUCACUCUAGAUAGCGGAGCCCAGGUUCUCUGCCAUUACCCAGCAUCGGCCUUUGGUUCGUGGCCUUCUUCUGGCCUCCCAUUCACCCCCUCCCCACCAAGGGGAGAAAACCGGACCACCUCACUACUGGCCUCACGUGUCUGGCGUGGAGAUUUUUAUUUUAUUUUAUUUUAAUUAAUUAAUUAAUUAAUUUUGCUUUUUAGGGCCACAGGUGCAGCACAUGGAGGUUCCCAGGCUAGGGGUCCAAUCGGAGCUGUAGCUGCUGGCCUACGCCACAGCCACAGCAACGUGGGAUCUGAGCUGCAUCUGCGACCUACACCACAGCUCUCAGCAACGCUGGAUCCUUCACCCACUGAGCGAGGCCACGGAUCGGAUCCACGUCCUCAUGGAUACUAGUUGGGUUGUUUCCCCUCAGCCACAUGGGAACUCCUGGAGUGGAGAUUUUAAUUUUCUGGAAAUCCUCGGGCCUUUGGAGAGAGCCUGGGGCUGGGGUGGGAGGCUGCAGUCUUUUCUGCUUCCCCCCGGGGGUUUGAGAUAGAAUAAACCAGAGGCAGGGAGGUGCUUUCCUGAAGUGUCCCUGGCCUGGGAGUGGGGGCUCUGGGCCUCUCGGCUGCCCACUGAAUCUCUUUCACAGAGCAGGGUCAGAUGGAACUUGCAGGGCUGGCCUCGUCCCCUUGGGAACGGGCCUUCCUCAUGGUUUGCUGUGCACCUGAGCCAGCUGGAAAGGGAGGCUGCCCCGGAAAGUAAGUGAGUCACCCGCAUCCUGAGGGCAGAACUGGGGUUCAGACCCCAAUCCGGACAAUGUGCCCCCAAAGCAGAAGCAAGCGAAGAGAAUGGGCUGGGAGCCAUGCGUCUUGGAUUCAAGUCCAGACUCUUGAAAACUGGGGAGAAGCCUGCCCUCCCGCUGACCCCCCUCCCACCCACCCGCAGUCGUCUGGCUGUUUCCCACGGUCAGCCCGCUGCAUCUAGAAGCCUCGGUGGGGAGCUGGAGCCCCCAGCCCUCCCUCUGCUGGCUCUCUCUUCCCAGGUUUCAUCCCCCUCAGGGCCCAGAGCAGCAGGAGACCCUUUGAAAGACUUGGUAAUCCAUCCCAAAAUAUGCAGGGCUGUUGCCGGGGCAACCUGGCUGCCACACAGCCCAGAUUUAAAUAUUUAAUGGCUUCAUGGGUAUUAAGGGGCCCUGGGAACUGGUCGGAAAGGGCACAGGUCUGAGCGGCGGGGGGGGGGGGGGGGGGGGGGGGGGGGGGNNNNNNNNNNNNNNNNNNNNNNNNNNNNNNNNNNNNNNNNNNCCCCCCCACCCAACAACCUCCAUCAGAGAAGGGUGCCCCCGUCGUCUGGCUUCUGUCCCUGUAUUUAAUGCCGAACCCAGCCAGAGGGUGAGACACAGAAUUCCACUGGGGGGGGCUGAUGGGAGGGGAGGCGUUCCAGGCAGAAUUUCUCUUUUUCCAAUGGACUCUUUUUCUGAAGUGGCUCCUGUGUGCUAAGAUCUUCCCUCCUCUUCUUUGAACCUCACUAUAAUCCUAUGAGGCGAGCAUCUUCUCAUCCCCAAUGUACAGCUGAGAACCAGGAUCAGAGACAUGAAGUGACUAGCCCAAGGUCACACAGCUGCUGAGUGGCAAGCCUGAACCCAAGCCCAGGUGGCUCCACAGCCAGGGUUCUUUUAGCUACUUCUGUCAGGAGCCAGGCUGGUAACUCUCACUGCAGGCAUGCAGGAAGCAUGAAGUCCUUUCCAGGGCUGGGCACUGUGCCAAGGUUUUUACAGGCUCUAAUUCACGCCCCUGUGAGGGAGGCGCUGUUCCCCCAUUUCACAGAGGUAGAAACGGAGGCCUGGGGAGGGCCCCACAGGGAAUCAGGGAAGCCUGCAUUCAGGCCUCAGUGGGGACUCUAGGGCCGGGCUUCAUCGUCUCGCUCUUCCUAGAGUUUAGAAAGCUGUAUAACAACAACAAAUAAAUAAAAAUCAAAUUGAAGAUCUCUUUUCACUCUGGUGCUUUGUCCACGUUCUCCCAAGAUGGCUAAGAGGGCAAGCGGUUCUUCCAACCGCUUAGUGAUAAAAAUAAGUCACCUUGAGAUUUUUUGGCUUCAUCAACUUGCUCUACACACAAGACACAGACAGACACAGCCUUGCAGACUCUGACAAACACACGCAUAGACAAGCAUACAACACAGACACACAUACAGACACCCAGACAGAUGCAGGCAAAGGCGCAUGUCCACAGACACACUCAGAUACUAUUUUAUUUCAUUUUUGGCUGUGCCCAUGGCAUGCGGAAGUUCCCUGGCCAGAGAUCAAACCCCCACCACAGCAGCAACCUGAGCCUCAGCAGUGGUAACGCUGAAUCCUGAACCUGCUGAGCCACCAGGGACUCACUCAAGACUAUUUUAAACAGUCAAACUGAUGUGAUUUUAUUCUUAAAGCUCUUCGGGAAGGAGGACAAACCCCAUAACCUCAUUCUUUUUUUUUUUUUUUCCUUUUUACGGCUGCACCUGGAGCAUAAGGAGGUUCUGAGUCUAGGGAGUCGAAUCACAGCUGCAGCUGCUGGUCUACACCACAGCCAUAGCCACGCCAGAUCUGAGCCAUAUCUCUGACUUACACCGCAGCUUGUGGCAAUGCCAGAACCUUAAUCCACUGAGCAAGGCCGGGGAUGGAGUCCCAGUUCUCAUGGACACUGUGUUGUGUCCUUAACCUGCUGAGCCACAUGGGAACUCUCCCACAACCUCAUUCUGAUGUCUCCUCCUUAAGUAGGGAAGUUCUUCCUGGUAUCUAACCAAAUUCCCUCCUGCUUGAUAUUAAUCACAACACACCUCCCAAAGCCCUCCUAUUUUUAUGCUCUUGCUUCAUCCUCAUAACCAUCCAGUGAGGCAACAGAGCAGAGAUGGUUGUACUAUUUUAAGGGGAGGGGGGCCCAGAGAAGUUAAGGAGUUUGCCUGAGAGGACACAGCUCCCGGUCAAGCUGGGCUUCACCCCAGGUGUCUGCUACUGAUUUCAUGGCUCCUUAAACUCCACCAGGUGCUGUCAGUGUCCCAUCAAUGUCACUUUGUCCUCUCCUCUCUGCAGUGAGUUUCUUGGAUCUCAACCUGUCAUUGUUCAGUGAAGGGACCAUGCUGGCCCUGGCUCCCCUCCCUCCUGCCUGAGUGAUGCCCUGAUGCAGCAUGGCGGGGGGGGCACCCAAAGUUGGAUGAGCCUGGAGUGUCCCCACCCAGAGGCCACCAGCAUCCCCCCUGUCCAGACAUGAUGUUUCCUGGGCUGAGAGCAGACUGGUGAGGCUUCCCCUUCUUCUCACCGCAUCCUCUACCCCAUCGGCAGCCCCCACCCCCACCCCCAUUCCCCAGGGACUAGGAACGGUCACCGGAGCAGAAACCAAGCCCCACCCCAGCCUCACGCCCACGGGGGCACCACCCCACUUGCAUUUGCUCGGCAGUGAAUAUUAGAGACCCCGGGUCUUCCCAGGCAACUGCCGUUGAUUCCCGUCACCUGGCCCGAAUUAGGGAGGCCACGACCCCUUCCCGUAAGAGGAAUGACGACAGGUAUUUAGACCUCAAGUUAUGGAGGGAAAACAAUGGAAAAGCAGAGAGUCUGUGACAAGAGAGUCCUGCCGGCUUGAGAAAAGCCGGAGAGGAAAUGAAUCAAAGGGAAGAGCCGGCGCUGGGGCCUGAAUAGGCAAGAGUCAGAGAAACCUGUUUUCUUUCCUCCCCAUAAAAAAUCCUCCCAGCCGCCCUCAGGAGAGAUGCAGGUCGGGGCGGGGGUGGAGAGGGAAAGGACUGGGCUUCGACGGAGGCAGGCACAGGCUCAGACAAAGGCACUGCAGCCUCCUUCACAGGAGCCUGGUCACCACGGCCACCAAACAUCAUUGAGUGCCCGGCCAGGAAGGAUGCUGGCGGUCCUGCCAGGAAGCUGCUGCGAUGAGCAAGUAUUUGGAUCUUACGGAACUCCAGGAGGGGGUUUCUACUUCCUUUUGACAAAAUGAUAAUCAAUAAUAAUAAUAAUAAAGUAAAACUUCUCCAGGUUUAAAACAUCUCUCGUUUCCCCAUCUGUGGAAUGGGACGAGAUCUCCCCCUUGCACAUCUAAGGGGCUGGUGGUGUCUGCGCAGCCUUGGCCCCUGUCUGAGGCUCUAGCGGAUGACAGGUGGCCCAUGCAGAGCAGACCAUGAGCCAAGCAUGUGUCCUGGGAUUAGUCCAUGCAGAGCGGGCUCGGAGCCAGGCCUGUGCCCUUGGAUUAGCCCGCUGUUCCUGGAAGGCCUAGCUUCUCUGCUGAGGCCCAGUAGCGAUUAGAAGGGGCAGGGAGUCCGGAGUGUGAUGUGGAUGGAUCCGAGCCCCGUCAUGGUUCUGCAUCCCCCAGGAGGACAGGAGGGUGGCGGUAGUGACAAUGACAAGAAUGAACAUCUACAGGGUGCUAACUAUGUGCCAGGCCCAGUUCUUAGUGCUUCCUAUCUGUUAACAUUAUUUUCACAACAAUCUUCAAAGUGGGUAUAAUUAUUAUGCUCACUUGCAGAUGAGGAAACAGAGGCGCAGAGAAGUGAAUUAACUUGCCCCAAGUCACACAGUUAUUAGGUUUGAACCCUGGCAGGUGGUUCCAGCAUCUGGGCUCAGAGGGUGUCCAAGAUGCCCCGUAGCUGGUGGGGCAAAGCAUGGAGCUCCCUAGAAUUAGGAAACUCACUAGAAAAGAGGAUUGCAGUGGGAAAUGGGGGGCUCAGGGUCUAGACCCUGCUCUGCCACUAACCAACCAUGUGAUGUCAAUUAAAUCACUCGCUUCCCGCGCCCUCACACAGGGCUUCUGGCAGUGGCACACAGGGGAGCUGGCAGUGUGGCCAAAAGCAUAACAAUGGCUGCUGGCAUCGUCUCCCCCACUCGCUACCCCUGUGGCCUUGGCCCCUCUGAGCCCAGUGAACCCUGCAAUCUCAAGGGUCCUGGGAAUAUCAGUGGGACCACAUUGCUUGAGGCAUGGAAAACUCUAGAAGUGGGAGCUUUCACUGUUCAUUUGACAGCCACGCCUUUUGCUCAUCCGCCCUCAGUCCUGAGCCAUGGUUUCAUGGCUCCCAAUGCCAAUGUUGAGCAAACUUCGAAAUGUCACUGAUCCAUUUCUUCUUCUUUUUUUUUGUCUUUUUAGGGUCA